CGGGGGAGGCCGGAUCCUGGGCUGUGUCCCGGCGCCCUGUGCUCCGGAGCCUGCGCUGGCGGAUUCGCGCUCCCGGGCCGCGCAGCCCCCU
rfam:Canis lupus familiaris chromosome X, whole genome shotgun sequence.